rnacentral:lncRNA from 10 species
GGGUGAUUCUUUUGGACUAAUUCAUGUGGCUGCAAUUGGAGCUGGAUGAUCUAAAUGGUCUCACUCCUAGGUCUGGCUGUUGAUGUUGGCUGUUGGCUGAGCCAGGGGCCGCCAGCAGGCUAGCAUGGGCUCUUCACUCAGCAGCAGGGUUCCCCAAGAGGACAAGCCCAACACACAUGUGCUUUUCAAGCCUGUGAUUAUCAGGCUUGAAAUACUGCAACAUCUGCUGCAAUCAGUAACAACCACAUAAGAAAGCAAUGACAAGUUAUGAUUACUGCUCUGGAGGGAGUGAGCAGGAUGCUGUGAGAGAGGGUUACUAUUCCAAGUGGCACCUGGGCCAGCAGCAUUGGCAUCACCUGGGACUUGUGAGAAAUCCAGCAUCUCAGGCUCCACUGCAGGUCUCCUAAAUCAGAAUCUACAGUUUAACAAGAUCCCCAGCAGAUGUGUGUGUAAGGUUUAUAGAGAGAAGAUUCAAGCCUCAACAGGCCAGCUCAAGAACCUGUUGAGAGGAGCACCUAGCAUAAGACCUGGCUUGUGACAGCUGCUCGUGGCAUGCCCUUCUCCACUAAGCCAACUUGUUAAACCUCUUCACGGCUGAGAUCAUGCUGCUUUCUUCUUCAGAUCUGCCACCCUCUAGCUGGGUGACUUUUAGACAAGUGAUCGACCUCUCUGAGCCAGAGUUUCUACCUUGUAAAAAAAAAAAAAUCCCUUCCUGCAUGGUCAGCUGUCAUGAAAAGGACACAUGGUGAUGGGCAGACAAAGACAAGGCUUAGCUUCGUGUUUGACUCCUAGGAGCGCCCAGUUCAUGGAGGCUGCUGCUGUCACUAAUCUGUUUCCAUCUUCCCCUGGGAAUCCUGAGGUUUAUCUGUGAGCCUUUGGACUGCUGUAUGGACAACAUACUCUGCAGUAGCAUGAAGAAGUGAGUGAAGACCCUCCCUUGAACCGUUUGCCCUGAAAGAACAGAAGUCACAUCUUGAUAUCUCAGUGCCUUUACAGUGCCAGGGAUGGGGUAGGUGCUGAGCGCCUGGUAUGUGCUCACCCUAUGCUGUACAACACACAGAAAGCCCCACAGGGUUUGAACUGUAAUUAGGUAGAGGGUGUGUGGGACUCGCCUUGGGUCUCUGACUUUGGCUUCUGCUCCCGGCCUUGGAUAGGCUGAUAUUUUCUAGUAGAUAUCAGAGACUCCGGUUGAUAGCACCACAAUGGCUUUUCUCCCAACUUUUUGUUUUACGUAUUAUCAAGCCAACAGAGAAGUUGCAAGAAUAGCACAAUGAACAUGCAUAUACCCUUCACCUGGAUUCACCACUUUUGUUUCAUUUCUCUCAGUAUAUAUGUUUGUGUGUGUUGGAGACAUAUGACAUUUUACCUCGAAACCAGGCAUCUCCUAGGAAAAAGAGCAGCCUCCCAUAUAACAACAAUACAAUGAUAACCCUUAAAAAACUUUGCAUUAAUAAAUCCCAUUAGUUAAUA